AGCGGCAAAAGCUCAGAUUUGAAAUCGUGUUUCGGCACGAGUUGUAGAUUGCAGGUUGGAGUCUUUGUGGAAGCGUGUGUCUAAGUCCCUUGGAACAGGGUGCCAUUGAGGGUGAGAGCCCCGUGAGACGCGUGCGGAAGCUGUAAGGCCCUUCUGACGAGUCGAGUUGUUUGGGAAUGCAGCUCUAAGUGGGUGGUAAAUUCCAUCUAAGGCUAAAUAUUGGCGAGAGACCGAUAGCGAACAAGUACUGUGAAGGAAAGAUGAAAAGCACUUUGAAAAGAGAGUGAAACAGCACGUGAAAUUGUUGAAAGGGAAGGGUAUUGGGCUCGACAUGGGAUUUGCGCACCGCUGCUCCUUGUGGGCGGCGCUCUGUGCUUUUCCUGGGCCAGCAUCGGUUUUUGCCGCAGGAGAAGGCGUGCUGGAAUGUGGCUCUUCGGAGUGUUAUAGCCAGUGCGAGAUGCUGCGUGCGGGGACCGAGGACUGCGACAUCUGUCUCGGAUGCUGGCACAACGGCGCAAUA
rnacentral:rRNA from 1 species